UUCCCUGUGAAACGACGAAUAGCAGACAUUAGUAUCUUACUCAUUAUCAUUAAUAUUUUCUAAUUAAAAAACAGUGUUUCUAUCAUUGCUACAAAAAUAGAAGAAUUCUUUUUCAAAGAACUCUUCUCAAAUCAACCAGCUGUGAAACCCUAGAAAUUUCAAUUCUUCAACCGCAGCAGGUCCUGCGAAGGACUCUAUCGCCACGGUGACAGAAGCGAUUAACCGACGAGUUUCGUCCCCGAUGACACGUGUUGGCCAUCUCGAAGCAAGAGACGUCGAGGAAUCGCAGAUAAGCCAAGUCGAACCCCCAGAAUUCAGCUCGCAGAUAGCUCGCGAGGCUCGUAAAACCGAAGAGGAACGGGGCAAACGGUGGGACAGAGUUAUCAGGAUGCAUUAGGUCGCCCGUGGAGCAGCCAUUAAGGGCUAUCUGGUGCUGGCGUUACUUGCAACCGAAUUUAGUGCGAGCUCGUGGCUAGGUGGCCAAGAAAGAACCGGUAGCACGGAUUUCUAUUAGCUCAGCUAUUGGAGGAAAGUGCUGGACCAUUAGAAGGGACCCGUACCGUUCAGCUCGUACCUUUUUCCAGGAAUUUAUCGAGGUCGAUCGUCUUGGACGAAUUAUCGAGGAAUUCUUGGAAUAGUCCGUGCCAGGACUCCGGGAACCUUCGAAUCGUCACGAAAAAAAUUAACAGCUUACAGUAUCGUCCAUUGAUGAAUAUUCAAUUUUUAGACGCUUGUUUAAUAAUUUCGUCCGCGCAAUACUCAAAUCUCAUUUGCAUAAGCGCUCUGAGAAUACGAAAGGAGUCCUAGAAUACCUUGCAACAUUUUAUUCAGAUUACUAGAUAACCAUUUUAUUGAUUUUUCCUGUCAGCUCGUUAGGAAAAGUAUAAUUUAAUCGGACAGGUGUUGAAUUGAAAGCUAAUGUCCUUUCUAAAAUUGUAUUAGUCAAUUGAAAAUGAUUAAACAACAAAUCUCAGCAAGGAGAUUAAAUAUCUACCGAAGCGAAUGGAAACAGGAAGAAGUUUGAACGAUAGGAGACACGUUUCAUUGGAUCACGGUAGACCGCGCAAACGGGUCAGUACUUUUCCACGAUGCAUUAACGAGACUGUUAUUAAGUUUCCAUAUCCAUGCCGUUUCACAACUGGAUCGACUGUAACGAAGAUGAAAAACCAGACCGUCCGUGAACUUCAGGGUUGCAGUUGCACAAGUAAGAUGCAACGAUAUCGGGAACGCGAUCAUUAAGACGAAGCUCUUGUUUUACAGAUGACGCUUCGUAAUCGUCAGUCGAAGGAGAAUCAUGUAAUAGUCCAACGACAAAUUAGCAAUGUUGUUCUUCGUGACAAGUGCCAUGCAAAUCGAACUGGAUUGAAACCGAGAGGAAAAUCAAAGAAAUCUUCCAUGAAAACAAAACUCACUUACGUAAAAGAAAAAAACGGUGUCGUGGAAUAAAUAGGAGAUACAAACGAGGUAUUGAUUAUUGCAGAGGUAUACCUGAACACGACAUCCCAAUCGAGGACACGUUCGCGACUUCGUUUCUGCAAAGUUUUGCUCGCGUAUCUGGCGCAGAUUCUCUCGUAGACGCAGACAUUGUUUCCAAGUUCGGAUACUAAUUUCUUCUCCACCUGUCCGACGUCUAGAAUUUCUUCGUCGUGUACCAAAGGCAGGGCUCGUUUAACUCUGUUGACGUAAGUCUCUGAAAACGAGAGGCAACCGGUGGUAAAUGUCAGAAUCAUUUCGUCAUUAAUUCGUCUGUUCGUAUGAAAUUUAAUUCUUGAUUAAAUUUUAUUAUUCAUCAGUACAUUAGCACUUUUAUUCUGUUAUCUUUAUAAUAUGUUCUUAUGGAAAUUUAAUUAAUAUUAAUUACUUGAUUUUUAUUUGAACUUAAAGCCAUCUAUUCGGUAGUAACAGAUAUGAAAAGUUCGAGUCUUGUAAUGUUAUUUUCGAACCAUCACUGUCAACUAUGCUAAUGCAUUAUUCGAGUUUCCAUGAUUGUCAUCAAUCCAAGGGCGCGUUUCAGUGCUUCUGAAAUCACUAAAUGACGGUCCCCGGCUGAUGAGCAAUCAACGCUUCUUCACUUCACUUUAAUGAAAAUUGACGUACACUUCUCCAUGCAAUCUCCUAUUAAACUGUCACGUUAAUUGCUCGUCAAACUUCGACUUUAUUAUUACUUGUCAUUCAAUCACCAAUCUGUCAUCGAGGUAAAUCAGCCGAAAAUAAAAGGUAUACAAAUAUAAGAAUUAUAAUUUAAUUUUCAAAUCUGAUUAAUUGAAAUAAACUAUUAUAUAGCAAUUAUCGAUGCUAAUGAAUUUUUCAAAUAAAGCUAUACAAGGACAACUUUUUCUAUACUUUAACUUUAGAAAAAUUCAUUGAACCCUAUGUUUUCAACAUCAAUGUCCUCAUCGAAGAAAUUACGACGACGUUACACGAGAAUCCACUCUUUCAACGAAGUUGCAACAAGUGGAACACUUUCGCUUUCGUUUCUCGUCGAUUCGAUUCACGCGCGAAAGCAUGAAUUACCUAUACAAAGUAGUUAAGAUUCUCUUCGCUCCGAUGAUCGAAUGCAACUUCCUGUCGGCUAGAAUAUUCAAGAACCAUUGAACUUGCUCAUGCGAUUCAUUUAUCUUAAGUGCAGUAGAAAUGCUCAACUCUUUUUUAAUGAAAGUAUGGUAAUUAAAAAAAAAUUGAUUUCAUUUUGAAAUAAUAGAAUCGCUUUAUCGAAUAGAAAUUUAAAGAAAAUACCUGGAUUCAACGAGUACGCGAGUUUUUUCACGAAAUUGGUGAUCCUGACAGCAGCAACGAUCACCGGGAAGCCGAUCAAUUGUACCGGAAGCUCGAACGUUGGUUCUUCCGGUCUUGGUGCUCCGCUUACGAGUGCCAAAGUCAAGAAGUAACAUCCCGGCAAGAAGAAUGCGCUCGUUAGUCGCAUCGUGGAAUGCUAUCUAAGAAAUUAAUCAAUUACUGUUACUUCACUUUGACACUUCAACGAUAAUUAUUAUUUUGUAAUUUCAUCACCCAAUACUAUCUUCUAACACAAUUUAUUCAACAUUUUCACAGAAUUUCGCCAAAUUCGUUUGAAACGUCAGACUCAAAAUGGCACUUUGAAAACUCUCAUUCACGAAUAUCCAAAACUGGAGGAAGCGAACGGUUCUCGCGGAAUUGAUCGCAAUGUCACCUGUUCUCUGCAACGCGUUGCUUCCGUGCACCAGAGCACCGGACGAAAACGUGGACUGGUUGUUUCUUUGGUAAAAACUCGUUGUCGAGUGUUCCUCGGGGCAGUGCACGUAUGCCUGUUGCUGGUUUGCGACAAGAGAAAGUGAUCGCCCCUACCCGUUGCCUUACGUUCAAACGAACGGCCAGCACCGGAUUGCGACAUUUAGUGCGCUAACAGGACCCGUACGUGACGUCCUUCGAGCCCUCUUCCUGGUUGAGUCGUCCUCCUCAAGGUCGGGAUCGUUUCGAGCACCUGGACGAUCGAACACCGGCUCAUCGUGACUCAUCGGACCCUUCAUCAUCGAUCAACACGUUUGGUAAAAUUUCAAAUUGAAGAGCACUGAGUUUGAGUAAAAAUUUGCCAAGUGUGAAUCUUUCUUUUGUGACUUGAAAAAAAAGAUCAUAAUUUUUAGAAUUUGAAGAAGAGGAAUUUAUUUUGAAUUCGAAGCAGGUCGAGGACUUUUGCUAUGAAGACAUAGGAUCCUUUCGAAUUCGGAGGAGAUACAAGUACUGUGAUUUGAAUUCGAUGGAGAUUUAAAUAAAUCUUCCAAAGGACUCUAAAUUUUUCUUUCGUUAAACUACUCUUCGAGUACGAUCACGCAGCAGCUACUUCGCAAGAAUACAAUCGACACUGGGACAUGUAGAACGAAUCGAUUAUGUCUGAACAACUGGCUGGGAUGGUUGCUCAAUGAUCAUGAUUUUCCUACGUGUACCAGUGCACAUCGAUCCAAAUGUGUGUCGUGAAUGCACUUCUACUGGGAUGCAUAGGUGAACGAUCUCUCAGACAUGACUACCCCGGAAGUACUUUCCUUGAUAUUUUCCAGUAAAAUCUUUUGCAAUUUUAUCGAAAUAUUAUACAUUCAUUACUUAUUUUAUGUCGAGCUUAACUAAAUGGUAAUUGCAUGUUAAUUACCUUUGAAUUCUAAAGUCAGGAUUUAAUAUUUCCUUUUAGAAUUGCUAAUAGAAUGGUACGAAUUUAAAAGACUUAGAAAACUUUGUUUUCUACUAUUUGCAAUACUUCAGUAACUUAACAAGAAUCUUUAUUGAAACUGAAAACACCAUAACAGGAAUAAUCUCUCAAGCUAAUUUCCCAUAAUCUUUUCCAAACAGCAAACCAUUAAGCACCGCAUUCCACUUGCAAUAUUCAUGAAAUCUAUGACCUAACUCAAAAGGAUUAUCACCAUCUCUAUAUCUCUAAACUAAUUUCCCUGAACUUUCAAAAUUCUGUCGGUCGAUUGCCUAUCGAAGUUUCAUAAUUUCAUGGACAUUUUUCAGCGAGUUCUUUCGAUGCUCGUCAAUUACCCGCGCGAGGAGUUUCGUAACGUCGCGACGGUGUUUCGAGCGAAACAGCAGGGGAUCGGCUGCUUUCGGGAGCCUGGAAUUGCUAUUGCACGAAUCGCAGAGUUGGCAGGAGCGCCGAUAAACGAAGCUGGUGCGAUCAUUUUUGCGAGAAUAUCGCUGGGAUUCUAACAGCUCGCCUCCGAUCUUGGCACGAUUUCGUCUUGCGAUCGUUAGGAAGCUUGCGAGCGAGCAAACGUUAGUGCUUGGCAUGCCGCUUAAAGGCGCCCGGAGAUUAUUACAAUAACUUUGCCGACCCUGUAAAUUGUCCGGAUUGUUUUCUCCACGAUAACGUUCACGUUGCAAUGCGAAUCUUUUUUUCUAUGGAGGAAAAUUGGUGUUCUACGAGAACUUUGCCACGAAAUUCCAAUUUAAUAUAACAUUUCAUACUUGAUUUUGCUUUUACGUGUGAAAUUAAAUUUCUUUUUAAUUAAGUACCAACAGAAUAGAACACAAGACAUUUAAUAACUAUUCGAAGAAGAAAAAAAUAUUUCCAUUUCGAAUGCUUUAAAUCAUUUCUUUGUUUUCAAUUAGUAGAAGCUAAUUUAUAAGAAAAUAAAAAUUACCGAAAAGUUGAAUAUAUCGAGGCGAGGUUGAAUCGUGACGAAGUCACGGAGGCGUAAAGUCGCUUCCUGUUUCGUUCACGAAACUGUGAUCGCGAUGGAUUAAACGCGCGACGAUAACGAGCAACUUGGGAAAGGAUAAAUUGGUAUGGCACAAAUUAGACGUCCCUUUUCGUUGGUGGCUGCGCGAAAUAAUUACAAGAAGCUGGCUCGAGCGAAAGGGCCAUUAGCUCGGCCGCGUCUGGCCUCCUUUGUGCACCUUUAUAACGCUCGCUAAAUAUUAUAUACACCGGUGGUAAAUAAGGGACGUACUUGUUGAAAUCAGUUCGAGCGUCGCCGUUGGAACGGCUAUUAAGAACGAAUCUCGAGAAAGCAGAAAAUGUCCCGGUAAUUGCCGGCGAAUUAUCAAGCCUCUAUUCGAAACCAUUAUGCCACAUGGUCGAGAAAAAGGAUAUCUGAGAAAAGAGUAAUAAUAUACAGAGGGAUAACGAACUACGCUCGUUUGCUGUUUUACAAAGAACUUAUUAUGUAGAAAUUAUAU